ensembl:misc_RNA Metazoa_SRP Metazoan signal recognition particle RNA
GCCGGGUAUGGGGGUGCGUGCCUGUAAUCCCAGCUACCUGGGAGGCUGAGGCAGGAGAAUUGCUUGAACCCAGGAGGCAGAGGUUGCAGUGAGCUGAGAUCACACCACUGCACUACAGCCUGGGCAACAGAGUGAGACUCUGUCUCAA